rnacentral:lncRNA from 1 species
UGGACUUGAAGGCAUGAACACAUAGUAGAAAAAGAUAGCAGAAAAUGAAGGAAGUACAUAUAUCAAUUUCUGCGACUGAAUAUUAAUUUACAUCUGAAAUAUUAGUUGAGCAACAUUUCACAUUUGUUAGAAAAUCAGAGAAAAUUGUACAUCAUGCAUUCAUUAAUUCUCUAGUGCUGCCUAAAAACAAUUGAUUAGCUGCCAAUCUGACCAUCUCCUUCCUAUUUUCCGUCCUUUCCCCUGUUAUUGGUUCCAUCGGCUAAUCCGCGCAGCUGGCCGUGCAUCUGUGUUCUCCUCAGCCUGCUGUGUGUAAAUUAAUACCCGGCAAAUAAAGCUCUAUCUGUCGGCAUUGCGCUAUCUUUCUUAUACCAGGCAAAUACAACACUAAAUUUUAUUGAGCAAAGAAGGAACACGGUACUUCGGAACACUGCAAAUAUAUGCUUUGUUGAUGCAUCUACCAGUUGCAUGGCUUCAUCAAAUUUUGAUCUUGCAUGGUUCAACAAAAUCAAACAAUUAACUCGCAUGAACAUUAGUUCAGAGGGCGAUGAUGCUCUGUCAUUGGGAUCAGGACCUCACAUCUUAAUGAAAGGAAGCAGUUAUUAAGCAAGUCCAAAAUCUGAGUGAGCCUUAGGCAGUCAACCCCAUUGCAGAACCAUGUCUGAUAGAGAAACACUAACAACAUCUAACUAACAAAGAGUGACUUGACCCAUAUAUGUCUGCAAAUGCAGCUCACAUAUUACUACGCAAGAAAACAAAUCAAGUUGCUGCUGCUUCUUCACAUAAACGAUCAUAAAAUAAGAUGAGAAGGCAGACACAGCAAGCAGGAAGGCAGGACCUUCCAGCACAACUGUGAUUCCUUCAACAGUCACGUAGCGGUGUCCCUGGGGACGUACCUGCAGUCACCCAUAUUGUACUCCUUCUGUGGACACAAGAGAACAUACUUGUGUGAAGUUUAGGACUGCCAACCUAAAAAAUGAAGAAGGAACUUUGAGAUCUUUGAGACCUUUGCCUCUUUCAAGUAACAACAUGUGGUUCUUUUCUAAGAAAUCAGAGGAGACAAGGAAAUAAAAAAGAGAGUGAUGCAUGAGAUGUAACGAAGAUGCAAGAUGAUUAGACUCACCUGCUCAUUGUGGCCAAGGCUAAUCUGUGUUCCAUCCGUUAACACUGAAUGCACUUGAACAAUCCUUAGGAAUCCAUGUCUCAUGCAUCAUGCAGUCGAAACAACCUGGAAAGAGGAACUGGCUAUGAACAAAACUAAUUUAUAAGAAAGAUGCUACAGAAGAUCAAUCAACUGUCUAUUGAAUAGUGAUUUCUUUCUCUGUGAUCCUUGCAACAACAAAAAUGUUGACUUUACUCAUCAUCAUAGUAUAGCUUGGUCAGAAGCUACUUCGCCAACCAUCAUGACAAACUAAAACCAUCCGGGUCUGAUGAAAUCAAGGGUCAUUCUAACAUGGCAUUUUGUGUUAUAGUCCCUCUGUCCCAAAAUAUAAGAACGUUUUUAACACUACACUAGUGUGAAAAACGUUCUUAUAUUAUGGGACGGAGGGAGUAAUAUAUAAGACAAUAGCUGGAUAGCUUGACAAAUCAGGUCAAGUAAAGGUUUUGCGCCAGAGAACAAAAUAAAAUUUGUUGUGGCGAAAUCAGUAGCAAAGAAGCAAUAAGAAAACACAAAAAAUACAAGUAAUAUAUACGAUACAGUAAUAAAGUAUGUCAUGCAAAAUGCAGUAAACAAUUACAGCCCAUGCAGUUAUACCAGAUGAAAGUAGGAUAUCAAAAAAUACCUGACCAAAUGAAGCUCACACANNN